AGCGAACGCUGGCGGCAGGCUUAACACAUGCAAGUCGAACGCUCACCUUCGGGUGGGAGUGGCAGACGGGUGAGUAACACGUGGGAACGUGCCCUUCGGUUCGGGACAACUCAGGGAAACUUGAGCUAAUACCGGAUACGCCCUUCGGGGGAAAGAUUUAUCGCUGAAGGAUCGGCCCGCAUCUGAUUAGCUAGUUGGUGAGGUAACGGCUCACCAAGGCGACGAUCAGUAGCUGGUCUGAGAGGAUGAUCAGCCACACUGGGACUGAGACACGGCCCAGACUCCUACGGGAGGCAGCAGUGGGGAAUAUUGGACAAUGGGCGCAAGCCUGAUCCAGCCAUGCCGCGUGAGUGAUGAAGGCCUUAGGGUUGUAAAGCUCUUUCGUCCGGGACGAUAAUGACGGUACCGGAAGAAGAAGCCCCGGCUAACUUCGUGCCAGCAGCCGCAGUAACAC
rnacentral:rRNA from 1 species